UUAGCAAAAUCUCGCAUUUUCCAAUAAUGACAAUCCCACCUGGAAUCACGAACAACAAAGGAUACUUUUGUUCUGCACAAGAAGGAUCAUAUGAAAUUUGCGACAGACCUAGAGUGACCGUACCCAUUGUACUCGUAUCAGCAGCUGCGGUAAAACUAUACGACAAUGGUCCAUGAACACCUAGCCAAAUUUGUAAUCCGACCGAAUAGCCUCCAAUUUUAAAUUGUAAUGAGCGCGAGCUCUCCAAAUAUUCGGGUGGCUCUUCAAUAUAUGGAUAAUCAGUAACCGUUGGUACAGGAUUUUGAUUGAAUGGUAACAUCAUCGUACAGUCAAAAUGUGAUAUGCCCACUAUAGUCCAGCAUACAGAAUCUCCAACUCGAGUCAUUUCAUUUGAACUCAAGUUUCCAACAGCUUCCCAUUCUAUGGGCAAUAUAGCCUCACUAGAUGCAUUUCUGUUUUGUGCCGACGUGGCCCCAAGAAACCAACGGACUGAAAUAUUAUUGGAAUAUGCCAGUGAACUAUGCUCAGCGAUCUUAAGAUGCCGUACGUUUGAUAUGGGAUAUGCGCUUUCUAAUACAAUUCUAUGCAUUUGAUUAACGUAACCGUCCUCCUCAGCAAUGUGGUCUUUUUCUACUCGUCGAAUAAUUAAAGGGUCACUCGUCGUUCCUGUUGCUUCAUCGACCAAUUCAACGAUGGAGCCAUAUUUAAUGGGUUCUGGGUUAUCGACAUCGUCGCAUACCUUCAGUUUACCAUUUUCAUCUGGUAAUAGCAGGUUAAUACGCAAUGGCACCCAUCUAUCACCGCGAAGACAAAACUGACCAGCCUCAAUCGAUGUAUACUUUGUACGUACAGUUUGUGAAUUAAUCCGGUUAUAAAGGCUGACGACUGAACCGGAUCGCAACGUAAUAUUACUAAUUUUUAG